GGUAGAUAUCAACAAUGCAGCCCAGAAAGAACGCGUCAAUCAGAUGAUUGAAGAUGCUGAGCCUUUUGAAGGCGAAGCACUCUUAGAUGCCAAGUGCUUCAAGUGAAGAGACUACUUGCAUUCCUACGGUUCCCAACAAUUUUGAGGUUUAGCCUAACUUGAUUUUGUCUACCCAGUAUCUGGAUUAUCUUCUACUCUAUUCUGCAAAAUGUGUAAUUGAAACAGGACUUUUUGUGAUCUAGCGUUGCUAAAUCUUCUUGAUCGAGAGAGAUAUUUCCAUCAACGUGCAAUUAUGUUUUGUCAAAAUGGCAUUUUGAUGCGAG
rnacentral:lncRNA from 1 species